GACAGAGGUGCCAAGCGUUAGGCGGAAUCACUGGGCUUAAAGCGUGUGUAGGCGGACUUCUAAGUACCUUGUGAAAUCCCACGGCUUAACCGUGGAACUGCUCGGUAUACUGGUUGUCUUGAGCCACUUAGGGGCUACCGGAACAAAUGGUGGAGCGGUGAAAUGCGUAGAUAUCAUUUGGAACGCCAAUGGUGAAAACAGGUAGCUGGGAGUGUGCUGACGCUCAUGCACGAAAGCCAGGGGAGCAAACGGG
rnacentral:rRNA from 1 species